CUGGUUUUUCCUCGGCUAAUAGCCAUUUGCAAUAGGGUCAAGAUUUAUGCCAGCUGGAAUCUCACAGGAUAUCAGUCACAUUGCUUUCUUCUAAGCAAUUGCUUAUGCUUACAAGAAAAGGAGCAGGAACAUUGAAAGGAAAAUGACAUACUUAGCUUAGGGUUCUGCAUGACAAAUGGCUCUUGAUAACCUUCCCCCGUCAAUUCUGGGAGAGUAGACAAAAGCAAAGAAAACAAAUUGACUACAGACAUCGACAUUCAUCCUACUUGAAGAGAGAACCAGUCUGUGUGAAAAACAGAGUAAACUUCAAAAGAAUCCAGCAAUUGCCCUGAACUGACCCAUAAAGAGAAAUUAGAAAUCGAAAGUUGAAAAUUAGGAAGCUCAAGAGUGAAUCUGAGGACUGAUGUGCUCCACACAUUACCUUCAAGACUGUUUAGUUUAAACAAAGUA
rnacentral:lncRNA from 1 species